AUGGUGGGGUGCUCGGCACCAAAUUGUGGCAAUAAAACAGAGAAAGGGUUUCGCUUGUUCAGAUUUCCUACAGAUGAAAAAAGAAAGGCAAUUUGGCUUCAAAAUUGCAGACUUGAUAAAUAGAAGCCAACAUCAAAUUCCAGACUUUGUGAGGACCACUUUGAAGAAAAUCAGUGGGAGCUCCAUCGAGCAGAUGAGUGGAGAAAGUUGAAGCCAAAUGCUAUUCCAACUUUAUUUAAUGUUCCGAAUCCACCAAAAAAGCUUAUAUCAACAAGGCGGUCAACUUACAAGGACCCAUUUUUUAGUGAGAUAGCUGGAGGUGCUACAAUCACAGAAAAUGAAACUGCUAAUCUUGGUGUAGGGAAUGGCACAGCAUUAUCUCAUGAGGCA